ACCUCUUUCCACAUCUUCAUCUCUGCUUAUUAAAUCUAAGCCAACACCACCAAUAACGUAGUUUCAUUGCCUGAAGCUAAUAAGUUUAUCAAUACAACAAUUUCUCUCUCUCUCUCUCUCUCUAUAUAUAUAUAUAUAUAUAUAUAUAUAGGAGCAGAGAAGCCGCCAUUGGAAUAUGAAAAAGGGUGAGUGGUUUUCAUGCUUAAUUUGUCUGUUAUUGAACGUCUCCCAAAACCCUAAUUUCAUUCAAUUUCCUCUUCUUCUCCUUUUCAUUUUAGCAUAUACAUACUUGAUUUAAUUAACUAAUUAUCUCAAAUUGCCACAAUGAAUUAUUGUAUUCUUUGAGUUAAAACUAAGUCGUUAGAUCAAUACGAAGGGGUGAUAAUUAUAAGAAAGUUGGGGAGUUAAAUUCCCUUCUAUGACUUUUGUAUUUUGGUAUUUAGUUACAACUUGACAUGCAAAGAUAUGUCACAAUAAUCCCUCCUUUUAAGGUAUAUGUAUAAUAUAUUACUAAUACUUAGUGAAUUAUAGCGGAGUGGCAUCAUUUAUCAUGUACCCCGGCCCACAAAAUAUUUGUAGUACCUAUUUAUUGCUUAUAAAAUAAAAGGGCGUACUAUCUCAACAUAAAUAGCAGUCCUAAAUUAUUUUAAAGAAAACGUAAACUUUAAAUUAUGUGUUAAGUUGGAGAAUAAUGAAAACAUAGAUUAAUUUCUAAUUUGGUGCAAUUUGGGGUAGAAUGGGUUGGUGAAAAUGUGAAUUAAAAAGGCAUAAAUCUUCACCAGUCGGUCAAACCUAAAGUCACGUGUGAGAGCAUAGAUUUUAAUCACUUUGAUUACUUCCACACGAGCCAAAUAUCUUUGGAACCUUUAUUUGUGUGCCUAUAAAUUCCACUCAUCAACAAUCAUCAUGAUGCCGCCUCUGCAUCCAUGACUUUCUCUUCUCUUUUCUUCAAUUCUCCAUCUCCCUCACACAAACACACACAUCUUAUCUUGAUUACUUCUGAUCUUGCACAAGCUUAUAGCAACUUCCAUAAAUUUCUCAGUUUUUGUUGAAUUUUAAUUUAUUAUCUAAGGUUUGUGCUCGUCAUAUUAAUUAGGGGUUUUCACGGUGAGAAGAUUGAGAUGAUGAUAUGGAUUGGUGAGGUGAAACAAGUGAUUUCCAUAAUAUUCUUGUUAAGUGAGCUGUCGCCUUUUGCAGUGUGCCUUUGCUUCAUUGUCUGUUCGACCUUACAAAACCCUAGCUUCUGCGCAUAAUAUUUUGAUUCGUAAGAUUUUUAUAUGUUAAUUAGACCACAUGAAUGACUGAAAAUUUUAAAAUUCUUCUAGAAAUAUCCAUGAAAUCUCAAAUUAUGAAUGAUCCUUUUGGAGAAUAGAGUUUGUGCAAAACAAAUAUUCCACCUUUGAUUUUGAUUACAUGAUUGUUGAGUAUAUAUUUUAAACGAUCCUUAAUAAGUUUUCCUAUCCAUGUUUCGCGUAUAAGAUAGAACUUUCAAUGAAAAUAUAUUUAGUUAUAUAAUAACCAGAUUUCCUACAUAUCACCUUAUUUUUGUGAUGGUCAUAGGUGAUUGAAUUAGUAAUUUCUCUUGAUAUGCAUAUAAAUAGAUGUUGAUGAAUGAUGCCAUAUAAUGAGUCAUAAGAGAAUGUAUAGAUAUUUAUAAAGAUGAUGAAAUGAGUAUAGAAGAUUUAGGAACUUGUACUUUCCUGAGAUUGCGCUGAUCAUAUUGGUAGCUGCAACAGAUUUAGGUUGCACCUUCAGUCCUUCUAGUCUUGAAACUGCUGCAUUAAUUUUUUGUCAUCUACGUUACAAAUCCAACUGUAAUUCUCACUUUUUACCAAAAAAAUAUACGUGACAGUACAUAUGGUUUGGUGUACAGUAUGGGUAAAAAUAAGUGAUUCUUUUAAUAAUCUUUAAAGAGGGGGACCAUGGAUGCCCAUUGCAUAUUAUUGUUUGAAUUUAAGGUAGCAAACUCUAUGGCAGUGUGUGUGUCAGUCUAUGUAUCUUCAAAUUUGCAAAGCUUAUGAUAAACAUAUUUGGUGGUCGACGUUUUAAUUAGUCUAAAGUUUUUGUAUGAUGUGAGACAUGAGAUUGAAAUUAAAAGGAUGUUUAGUUAGGAUUAGUUUAAGGUUGAACAGACAAUGAAGCUAAGUUAUACUUGCAACUGACUGCUUGCUUGCCAAGGCUAAGCAUGGGAAUCGAUUUUUCAGUUGCACCGGAAAAGGGAAGAGAUUUGUAGCUUCAAUAAUUUCUUGUAUAUUACUCUCCAUGUUCUUAAUCAUCUAUUUGCAGGGCAUAGAAUUGCUAUCAUUGAACUUGUAUUUACAAAUAAUUUAUAUACAACUCAGUUUGUGUUCCUUAAUAUUUAUUCUCUCGUACCUAAAAAAUAGACAACAUUUGAAACGAUGCGGGUUUUAAUGUAGAAUUGAUAAAAUAAGAGGGAGAUAGAAAGAAAAAGUGAAUGGAGUUGUGUUAGUGGAGAAUGAGACCCACCUUGAAAAAAUUUCCUUAAAUAAAAUUGGUUUUUUUUUACUUUUAAUGGACACUCCAAAAUGGUAAAUGUGGUCUAUUUUUAAGGGACGGAGGAAGUAUAUUUCACGGUGCUUUGCUUCAACAGUUUCUACGUCAAUUAAUGCAUGUGAUGUCCAUAGCGUGUAUAUUAAGGAGCCUUAGAAAAGCAAGAAGCCCGCACUGUUUUCAAAUCUCUUUGUUGAGGUGGUUUUCAUUUCUGAGAGCUGAAGUGACGGCCAGAAUUGCGUGGGAGAUUACAAUUAUACCCUCCAGAUUUUUGGGUCAAUAAUGUAUUUUACAAAUUGGAACAUGGGUAUUUGGGUCAGAACCCUAUUCUUUGAUUAAAAUAAGAAUUUCCACACUUUCCAAACCAACACCAAAUCUAGGGAACCGAACGCUAGUAUAUAGACUCAAUUAUGUGAGCCCUACCAUGACAAUUCAGACCAAGAUAUAUUUCUAUGCAUUUCAUAUAAAGAUUUGGUGCACGACUCUGUAGCUGUUACUGUU